GCUACUUGUUGCAACUAUUGGACUAUGAUUUACUUCUUCAGAAGCUCGAUUUGUGUCGUUUCCUGAUCAUCGUGGUUUCGGGAGAGACGUAGUAUUGUUCAAACAACCGAUCUGAACAGUUCUGACGCUUUUCAAGGGAAACCUCGCGCUUUGGCCUCGGAAUUCCAACAUUUAUAACUGUUGUUCUGUACACGUUUCUUUCAGCAAUGAAUGGUAUAAAUAAAACGAUGGCUCAUCAUCAAAAGCUCAAGUUACAAAAGUGCAACUGCAGGGUACCUGCUUGUCGUGAAAUCAAACCACCGGUUAAACACAUCCAGAAACCAAGCAGUAGAAAGAUAUUCGUUUCCUCAGCCUUCUUCUUUCACAAGGUAUUGAAGUUCAGAUCUCACUGACUUACUAAACAGAUGCAGUGCAUGUGAUACUUUUAUUUUCUCAAAAUGUGAUGGAGAAAUAGUGGCGUUAGUUAGCUUUGGUGCUAAUUUUAAAUCAUGAUGGUUCUCAAAGUCUACUAGAUCUUUUACAGGUGUAAUGGACACAAAACUACAGUUCAAGUUGUUUGCUUUAACAACAUCAUCAGGUAGAGUGAUGACUUUGCCACUAACCAAAGCUGCCUUAAGAUUCUUUAUUAGGUGAGGAACAUCAGUGAGAAAAUAUAACCAUUUGGUUGGACUUUGAGGAUGUACUACUUUGCUAACAAUAUUGCAGUGUCUUCCAGUAAUGAGGCCAAAGCUUCUCCACAGUGCUCAGUUUGCAGAUCUCAUGUCACUAGUCACAGCUAUGACAUAGUUCCGUUUGUGGAGUUUCCUGUGAAAUGGUAUGCUACUGUCUGUUUCCACCGUGACGACAGUCCUCCCAACAUAAACACAAGAGCAUGAGUGGCAGUACCACAAUGACCAGGCAAAGUCACAUUCCCAAGCAAUUGUCCACUACUUGCAUCAUACUCAAUACUAGGUGUAAUGGACAUUUCAUCUAAUGUGAGACAGCAGACUCUUUCCUCUUCGCACAAAUCAUUUACCUUCACUGCUAAGUAUUCAAAAACUUGGUUGAGUAUGCCGGGCUCAAAUAGAACUGUCUUCAUCCGUCGUUGAAGAGUUCGAAGAGAUGGUAAAGGAAACUGCUGUUUUAAAAAUGACCACCGAAUUCCUCGCAUUCCUCGGGACAAUGUUAGCAGCUGAUCUUCAGCAAAAAGUUUUUUAAUCUUUGAUUCCUGACUUGCCAUUUGCUUAGUAAGUGCAUUAUUUCUUCUUGUAAUUUUAUGCAGUUUGGCUCUUGAAACUUGUAAUUUGGCUUUCAAUUUUACGACUUCUCUAGCUGUUGUAGAGGAAUCAAUUGAAAGGGUAUUAGAUUCAUCCACAUCUAUAUCUAGAUCUGCCACACUGGUUUCAUAUGCUACAGAGUCAU